rnacentral:rRNA from 1 species
GACGAACGCUGGCGGCGUGCUUAACACAUGCAAGUCGAACGAAGUGGCGAACGGGUGCGUAACGGGAAAUCAACAUGCCCUUCAGAGGGGGACAACAGUAGGAAACGACUGCUAAUACAGAAUACGGAAGGAGGGGGUUGCGUCUGAUUAGAUAGUUGGAGGGGUAAUGGCCCACCAAGGCGAUGAUCAGUAGCCGGUCUGAGAGGAGGAACGGCCACAAUGGGAAUGCGACACGGCCCAGACCCCUACGGGAGGCAGCAGGGGGGAAUCUUCCGAAAUGGACGAAAGUCUGACGGAGCAACGCCGCGGGAGUGAUGACGGCCUUCGGGUUGUAAAGCUCUGUUAAUCGGGACGCGGUACCGGAAUAGAAAGCCACGGCUAACUACGUGCCAGCAGCCGCGGUAAUUC